rnacentral:rRNA from 1 species
UACGUAGGGGGCAAGCGUUAUCCGGAUUUACUGGGUGUAAAGGGAGCGUAGACGGUAGUGCAAGUCAGAAGUGAAAGCCUGGGGCUUAACCCCAGGACUGCUUUUGAAACUGUGCAACUAGAGUGCAGGAGAGGUAAGUGGAAUUCCUAGUGUAGCGGUGAAAUGCGUAGAUAUUAGGAGGAACACCAGUGGCGAAGGCGACUUACUGGACUGUAACUGACGUUGAGGCUCGAAAGCGUGGGGAGCAAAC